rnacentral:lncRNA from 1 species
AAUUAUACAUUUCAAACAAGGCGGUGAGCCAAUCAACUUUCAAUCUCAUAACUUUUGUGGUGAAUAAGAUAAAAUGUCUGUGAGAAUCAAGAAAAUGCUGGAGGAUGCCCAACUUUUCUCCAACGUUGACAAAAGAAUAUGUUGCAUGAUGCUUUUGGGAUAAAAGUUGAGUUGUACAAGAUGAUGCCUUUGAUCGAAUGAACAUAGUAAAAGAUAG